CUGUGUAUGGUGUAUAUAUGUGAUAUAUAUAUACAAAAAAACAAGUAUUUUCCUGUGAUGCCGGUAAAGCAUGCAUUUAUCAAGGGAUUUGUCUCUAAAUAACAACAUAUAACUUCCUUUUAACUUAAACAUUCUUUGUCCUUUUCAGAAUAAGUGCUCACGGUAACUGCCUGAGGGCUCUUGAAGAGCUGCUUCGUCAACACAGGAUGCCGGUUCACUGAAGGUGUUUGCAGAGUUUAACUGGAGCCACCACAAACCUGCAGAAUGACUUUUCUGAUGCUGUGGACCACUACACAACACCACACUUUGUCACAAUCUUCAAGUCCAAGAACGGAAGUGUUGGAGAGACAUUUGCUGAGUUUGUGCAGUAAAUUGAUUCACGGAAACCAGAUGUGACAGCAAUGUGCACCCUCGUACUCAGAGGCCUCCCUGUUCUACUUGGUGAUGACCCGAGUCACUUCUACCACACCAGCUUUGAUUCUGACAGGGAUGAUGCCUGGUCACAAGUAUCUUUUGGGGUGCUGGCGAACAUCAGUGAAGAUGUCCCUCUCUCCAAAUCAACUCCACCUUGAACCAGUGUCUACUUCCAUCAUUGUUGAGGAAGGUAUUGUAAUGGAUGAUCUCCUGAACCUACCUCAAGCACUUUGCCUCUUGUUUGGGUUGUCAUUUUCUUUACACUUGGACUGAAUACCCUAAAGCCAUGAAAAACACUUUCAACUUCAUUCAAAGAGUGAUGCUUGGCACAAGACAAACUCCCACCA